rnacentral:rRNA from 1 species
CGGCAUGCCUUACACAUGCAAGUCGAACGGCAGCAUGAUCUAGCUUGCUAGAUUGAUGGCGAGUGGCGAACGGGUGAGUAAUACAUCGGAACGUGCCCUGUAGUGGGGGAUAACUAGUCGAAAGAUUAGCUAAUACCGCAUACGACCUGAGGGUGAAAGUGGGGGACCGCAAGGCCUCAUGCUAUAGGAGCGGCCGAUGUCUGAUUAGCUAGUUGGUGGGGUAAAGGCCCACCAAGGCGACGAUCAGUAGCUGGUCUGAGAGGACGAUCAGCCACACUGGGACUGAGACACGGCCCAGACUCCUACGGGAGGCAGCAGUGGGGAAUUUUGGACAAUGGGGGCAACCCUGAUCCAGCAAUGCCGCGUGUGUGAAGAAGGCCUUCGGGUUGUAAAGCACUUUUGUCCGGAAAGAAAUCGCACUUACUAAUAUUAGGUGUGGAUGACGGUACCGGAAGAAUAAGGACCGGCUAACUACGUGCCAGCAGCCGCGGUAAUACGUAGGGUCCAAGCGUUAAUCGGAAUUACUGGGCGUAAAGCGUGCGCAGGCGGUUGUGCAAGACCGAUGUGAAAUCCCCGGGCUUAACCUGGGAAUUGCAUUGGUGACUGCACGGCUAGAGUGUGUCAGAGGGGGGUAGAAUUCCACGUGUAGCAGUGAAAUGCGUAGAGAUGUGGAGGAAUACCGAUGGCGAAGGCAGCCCCCUGGGAUAACACUGACGCUCAUGCACGAAAGCGUGGGGAGCAAACAGGAUUAGAUACCCUGGUAGUCCACGCCCUAAACGAUGUCAACUAGUUGUUGGGGAUUCAUUUCCUUAGUAACGUAGCUAACGCGU